rnacentral:lncRNA from 1 species
AUAGCUAUGCAGUUUUCUAGCUUCGGCGCUCCUCGGACAAAAUUUACAUUCGGAUACCCUCGGUAGCACAGUGGAUAUUUUGGCCGCCAUAUUGCCCCUUUGCCGGCUGCAGAGAUUAAGCGUAACUGGCUUUUAUUACCUCUAACCAGAUCAUAUUCCUGCUGUGACAUAUGAACAGGUGUAUUUAGGUCCGCAACCUGGUCAAUAUCCCAGUAAGCAGUUUGAGACAGACCAAAGGUCACCUAAAGAAAGAGAAAUUUCAAAGGUUGUUAAGG